UACGUAGGGUGCGAGCGUUAAUCGGAAUUACUGGGCGUAAAGCGUGCGCAGGCGGUUCGCUGUGUCCGAUGUGAAAGCCCCGGGCUCAACCUGGGAAUGGCAUUGGAAACUGGCGGGCUUGAGUGUGGCAGAGGGGGGUGGAAUUCCGCGUGUAGCAGUGAAAUGCGUAGAGAUGCGGAGGAACACCGAUGGCGAAGGCAGCCCCCUGGGCUAACACUGACGCUCAGGCACGAAAGCGUGGGGAGCAAACAGG
rnacentral:rRNA from 1 species